rnacentral:rRNA from 1 species
GAGUUUGAUCUUGGCUCAGGACGAACGCUGGCGGCGUGCUUAAUACAUGCAAGUCGAGCGAGGUUACUGUUUUGGAUCCCUUCGGGGUGAAGAAGCUUUAACCUGGCGGCGGACGGGUGAGUAACGCGUGGGUAACCUAACCCAAAGUCCGGGAUAACAGCGGGAAACCGCUGCUAAUACCGGAUGCCUUUACCUUGGGGCAUCUUGAGGUAAAGAAAGGUAACGCUUUGGGAUGGGCCCGCGUCCCAUUAGCUAGUUGGUGAGGUAACGGCUCACCAAGGCGACGAUGGGUAGCCGGCCUGAGAGGGUGGACGGCCACACUGGGACUGAGACACGGCCCAGACUCCUACGGGAGGCAGCAGUAGGGAAUAUUGCGCAAUGGACGGAAGUCUGACGCAGCGACGCCGCGUGAGCGAUGAAGGUCUUCGGAUCGUAAAGCUCUGUCCUUGGGGAAGAAGGCGAAAGCUUGACGGUACCCAAGAAGAAAGCCCCGGCUAACUACGUGCCAGCAGCCGCGGUAAUACGUAGGGGGCGAGCGUUGUCCGGAAUUACUGGGCGUAAAGGGUGCGUAGGCGGCCCUUUAAGUCGGAUGUGAAAGCCCGCGGCUUAACCGCGGAAUGGCAUUCGAAACUGGAGGGCUUGAGUGUCGGAGAGGGUAGUGGAAUUCCCAGUGUAGCGGUGAAAUGCGUAGAUAUUGGGAGGAACACCAGUGGCGAAGGCGACUACCUGGACGAUAACUGACGCUGAGGCACGAAAGCUAGGGGAGCAAACAGGAUUAAAUACCCUGGUAGUCCUAGCCGUAAACGAUGGGUACUAGGUGUAGGAGGUUUCGAUACCUUCUGUGCCGCAGCAAACGCAUUAAGUACCCCGCCUGGGGAGUACGUGCGCAAGCAUGAAACUCAAACGAAUUGACGG